rnacentral:rRNA from 1 species
GACCUGACUGCUAUCGGAUUGAUACUAAGCCAUGCGAGUCUUUGCAGUAAUGCAAGGCAGACGGCUCAGUAACACGUAGUCAACUUACCCUAUGGACGAGGAUAAUCUCGGGAAACUGAGCAUAAUACUCGAUAGAUCAUAAUGCCUGGAAUGGUUUAUGGUUAAAAUGAUUCGUCGCCAUAGGAUGGGACUGCGGCCUAUCAGCUUGUUGGUGAGGUAAUGGCCACCAAGGCGAUUACAGGUACGGGCUCUGAGGGGAGAAGCCCGGAGAUGGGUACUGAGACAAGGACCCAGGCCCUAUGGGGCGCAGCAGGCGAGAAAACUUUGCAAUGUGCGAAAGCACGACAAGGUUAAUCCGAGUGAUUUCUGCUAAAGAAAUCUUUUGCAAGUCAUAAAACCACUAGUGAAUAAGGGGUGGGCAAGUUCUGGUGUCAGCCGCCGCGGUAAAACCAGCACCUCAAGUGGUCAGGAUGAUUAUUGGGCCUAAAGCAUCCGUAGCCGGCUCUGUAAGUUUUCGGUUAAAUCCACGUGCUCAACACAUGGGCUGCCGAAAAUACUGCACAGCUAGGGAGUGGGAGAGGUAGACGGUACUCAAUAGGAAGGGGUAAAAUCCUUUGAUCUAUUGAUGACCACCUGUGGCGAAGGCGGUCUACCAGAACACGUUCGACGGUGAGGGAUGAAAGCUGGGGGAGCAAACCGGAUUAGAUACCCGGGUAGUCCCAGCUGUAAACGAUGCAGACUCGAUGAUGCAUUGGCAUAUAGCCAGUGCAGUGUCGCAGGGAAGCCGUUAAGUCUGCCGCCUGGGAAGUACGUACGCAAGUAUGAAACUUAAAGGAAUUGGCGGGGGAGCACCACAAGGGGUGAAGCCUGCGGUUCAAUUGGAUUCAACGC